ensembl:snoRNA small nucleolar RNA, C/D box 114-2
UGGACCGAUGAUGACGGCUGGUGGCGUAUGAGUCAUGGAUGAUGAAUACUGUGUGUCGGGAACUCUGAGGUCCAA